ensembl:snoRNA SNORA72 Small nucleolar RNA SNORA72
UUAUGAAUAUUCUCGCUAUUCCGAUUUUGUAAUAAUCAGGACAGGCUAAACAUUCACAAUAUUAAGACCAUGCAUGUAUCCCUAGACCUAGUUAUUUCCCCAGGUCUGGUUUCAUAAAUGCUGGUGAUAAAA